GUGAUCUGCCGCACAGGAGCAAAGCAUUCUGGGAGUAAGUACACAGAACAGGUUGAAGAUGAUCCUUCUAAAGGUUGUUUGAACGUUUCUAAUUUAAUAUUUUACUGAUUGUGUCGUUCUUUUUCAUUUAAAUUAUAUUGAGUUUUAAAAAAAGGUCAAUAAUUAUAAAUUCAGUUGUGAGUUUUCAGCUUUUUUCUCAGUAAAACUGCACUUCCUGUCCUGGUAUUGGGGAGUUUUGGAGCUUGCUGGUUUUAGUUGAGACGUUUUUUCUGAACCAUCUGAAAACUCUGAUCUUAGAUCCACUUUGAUCCAGGAAAUUGAUUCUACUGAACAUUUUAAAGCUCUUUGACCUCGUUGACCUCUUCAGCUUCACAUGAUUUAGUUUCCUUUUCUACCAGAGAACAAACCAAAGGCUCCAAACUCCUCAACACCUUCAACAUUUUGAAGUUCUGUUUGAUCUUUUCAGUUCAAAGACAAAAGGCCCAUGGAUGACCUUCUCCUCAAACGUCGGAGAUCAAACACCAGAUGGACAGAAGAGGGUCACAGUGGAAAAAGGAGGCGGGACCUUGAUGAUCUGCAGCAUGGACUCGGACCGGUCCAGACCACUGCUGCGGGACGGGGACCGGUUCACUGCCCAGGAGAAGACAGAGUUACAGGAAAAAGGCUGAAUUUGAUCUUCAAGCAACACCUGGAGAAAGGAGAAAGGUCUUCUCAUCCGUACCUGAAGGCAUGAGAGCAGGAACUCCAAAGUAGGAGAAAGCUCCGUUCUCAAACUUCAGCGCCUCCUUACCAAACUCCACCUCCACCCGACCCUGAGGGACACCAGAGAGACGGUUGAGUCUCAGACUCCUCACGGAUCCUCGUCAGCCGCCUCUUACCUGCAGCACUAAGGUGAAGUAGUCCACCGGUUUGUUGCGCUGGAACAGGAAGUGCUGCGGCGCUCGCUUGUUCUUCUCGUCGAACUUCAGCUCCUGGACCACACUGGGGUGUUUGAUGAGCCGCAGCAGGAUCUUCUCGGAGAUGUGAGCAGGUUUGAAGGGCUCCACCUCUGGGUGGAGGCGAAAGACGGAGAGAAGGUUUGAUUCUUCCUCCACGUCUCCAGGAACCUGGAGGAAGAGCGGCCGGUACCUGUGGAGAGGAACCGAUGCGUCGCCAGGAGGAGCUGAGGAGAAAUCUUGACCUUCAUCUCGUUUUCCGACAGCUUGAAGAUGGAAAAGUCUUGCUGCUUCCGCUCGUGAGGUCCGUCUCAUCCAGGAUCUCAGAUUUGAUGAUCUCCUCGAUGACGUCCUCCAGGGUGACGAUGCCCAUCACCUCGUAGAAGGGGUCGCCCUCCCCCUCGUUGUUCACUCGCUGCACGAUGGCCAG